UACGGGGGGGGCAAGCGUUGUUCGGAAUUACUGGGCGUAAAGGGCUCGUAGGCGGCCAACUAAGUCGGACGUGAAAGCCCUCGGCUUAACCGAGGAAUUGCAUCCGAUACUGGAUGGCUUGAAUCCGGGAGAGGUGAGUGGAAUUCCCAGUGUAGCGGUGAAAUGCGUAGAUAUUGGGAGGAACACCAGUGGCGAAGGCGGCUCACUGGACCGGUUCUGACGCUGAGGCGCGAAAGCGUGGGGAGCAAACGGG
rnacentral:rRNA from 1 species